UGGGGAAUCUUGCGCAAUGGGCGAAAGCCUGACGCAGCAACGCCGCGUGCGGGAUGAAGGCCUUCGGGUUGUAAACCGCUUUCAGUGGGGACGAACCAAGACGGUACCCACAGAAGAAGCCCCGGCCAACUACGUGCCAGCAGCCGCGGUAACACGUAGGGGGCAAGCGUUGUCCGGAUUCAUUGGGCGUAAAGAGCUCGUAGGCGGUUCGAUAAGUCGGGUGUGAAACCUCCAGGCUCAACCUGGAGACGCCACCCGAUACUGUCGUGACUAGAGUCCAGUAGGGGAGCGUGGAAUUCCUGGUGUAGCGGUGAAAUGCGCAGAUAUCAGGAGGAACACCAGCGGCGAAGGCGGCGCUCUGGGCUGGAACUGACGCUGAUCCGCGAAAGCGUGGGGAGCAAACAGGAUUAGAUACCCUUGUAGUCCCUGAGCGGGCUGGCAAGGCGCAU
rnacentral:rRNA from 1 species